ACCACCUUAGUAUAAUGGAGAAUACCCUUGGCUACGAACCAGGAGAUGUGAGUUCGAUUCUUGCAGGUGGUGCCA
rnacentral:tRNA from 1 species